rnacentral:rRNA from 1 species
AGACUGACGCUCAGGUGCGAAAGCGUGGGGAGCAAACAGGAUUAGAUACCUGGUAGUCACGCUGUAAACGAUGUCGAUUUGGAGGUUGUUCCCGUGAGGAGUGGCUUCCGGAGCUAACGCGUUAAAUCGACCGCUGGGGAGUACGGCCGCAAGGUUAAAACUCAAAUGAAUUGACGGGGGCCCGCACAAGCGGUGGAGCAUGUGGUUUAAUUCGAUGCAACGCGAAGAACCUUACCUACUCUUGACAUCCAGAGAAUUUAGCAGAGAUGCUUUAGUGCCUUCGGGAACUCUGAGACAGGUGCUGCAUGGCUGUCGUCAGCUCGUGUUGUGAAAUGUUGGGUUAAGUCCCGCAACGAGCGCAACCCUUAUCCUUUGUUGCCAGCACAUUAUGGUGGGAACUCAAAGGAGACUGCCGGUGAUAAACCGGAGGAAGGUGGGGAUGACGUCAAGUCAUCAUGGCCCUUACGAGUAGGGCUACACACGUGCUACAAUGGCGUAUACAAAGAGAAGCGACCUCGCGAGAGCAAGCGGAACUCAUAAAGUACGUCGUAGUCCGGAUUGGAGUCUGCAACUCGACUCCAUGAAGUCGGAAUCGCUAGUAAUCGUAGAUCAGAAUGCUACGGUGAAUACGUUCCCGGGCCUUGUACACACCGCCCGUCACACCAUGGGAGUGGGUUGCAAAAGAAGUAGGUAGCUUAACCUUCGGGAGGGCGCUUACCACUUUGUGAUUCAUGACUGGGGUGAAGUCGUAACAAGGUAACCA